GAGGGUAUAGCUCAAGUGGUAGAGCACGUGCUUAGCACACAUGAGGCCCUGGGUUCAAUCCCCAUGUACCUCCU
rnacentral:tRNA from 1 species